UCCUUCGGGAAUGAGUAGAGUGGCGCACGGGUGAGUAACGCGUGGAUAAUCUACCGGGGAGUGGGGAAUAACAGUUGGAAACGGCUGCUAAUACCGCAUACGCUGCAUAUAUGUCUAUGCAGGAAAGGGGGCCUCUGCAUAUGCUUCCGCUUUUCGAUGAGUCCGCGUCCCAUUAGCUUGUUGGCGGGGUAACGGCCCACCAAGGCGACGAUGGGUAGCUGGUCUGAGAGGAUGACCAGCCACACUGGGACUGGAACACGGCCCAGACUCCUACGGGAGGCAGCAGUGGGGAAUAUUGCGCAAUGGGCGAAAGCCUGACGCAGCGACGCCGCGUGAGGGAUGAAGGUUUUCGGAUCGUAAACCUCUGUCAGAAGGGAAGAUGUUGCAUGGGGCCAAUCACCUGUGCAUUGACGGUACCUUCAAAGGAAGCACCGGCUAACUCCGUGCCAGCAGCCGCGGUAAUACGGAGGGUGCGAGCGUUAAUCGGAAUUACUGGGCGUAAAGCGCACGUAGGCUGUAUGUCAAGUCAAGGGUGAAAUCCCACGGCUCAACCGUGGAACUGCCUUUGAAACUGGCAAACUGGAGUAUGUGAGAGGGCGGCGGAAUUCCUGGUGUAGGAGUGAAAUCCGUAGAUAUCAGGAGGAACAUCAGUGGCGAAGGCGGCCGCCUGG
rnacentral:rRNA from 1 species